UGCAGGCGAUGACCCAGGAUGCAGCCAGGGGCCACGACAUGCACGGAGGACCGCAUCCAGCAUGCCCUGGAACGCUGCCUGCAUGGACUCAGCCUCAGCCGCCGCUCCACCUCCUGGUCAGCUGGGCUGUGUCUGAACUGCUGGAGCCUGCAGGAGCUGGUCAGCAGGGACCCCGGCCACUUCCUUAUCCUCCUUGAGCAGAUCCUGCAGAAGACCCGAGAGGUCCAGGAGAAGGGCACCUACGACCUGCUCACCCCACUGGCCCUGCUCUUCUAUUCCACUGUUCUUUGUACACCACACUUCCCACCAGACUCGGAUCUCCUUCUGAAGGCAGCCAGCACCUACCACCGGUUCCUGACCUGGCCUGUUCCUUACUGCAGCAUCUGCCAGGAGCUGCUCACCUUCAUUGAUGCUGAACUCAAGGCCCCAGGGAUCUCCUACCAGAGACUGGUGAGGGCUGAGCAGGGCCUGCCCAUCAGGAGUCACCGCAGCUCCACCGUCACCGUGCUGCUGCUGAACCCAGUGGAAGUGCAGGCCGAGUUCCUUGCUGUAGCCAAUAAGCUGAGUACGCCCGGACACUCGCCUCACAGUGCCUACACCACCCUGCUCCUGCACGCCUUCCAGGCCACCUUUGGGGCCCACUGUGACGUCCCGGGCCUGCACUGCAGGCUACAGGCCAAGACCCUGGCAGAGCUUGAGGACAUCUUCACGGAGACCGCAGAGGCACAGGAGCUGGCAUCUGGCAUCGGGGAUGCUGCAGAGGCCCGGCGGUGGCUCAGGACCAAGCUGCAGGCGGUGGGAGAAAAAGCUGGCUUCCCUGGGGUGUUAGACACUGCAAAACCAGGGAAGCUCCAUACCAUCCCCAUCCCUGUCGCCCGGUGCUACACCUACAGCUGGAGCCAGGACAGCUUUGGGAAUAAUAGAAGGGGAUCCGGGGCCCAGACUCCCAGACAGUGCUGGCCUUGCUUCCCUGCAGACAUCCUGCAGGAAAUCCUGCUCAAGGAACAGGAGCUGCUCCAGCCAGGGAUCCUGGGAGAUGAUGAAGAGGAGGAAGAGGAGGAGGAGGAGGAGGAGGUGGAGGAGGACUUGGAAACUGACGGGCACUGUGCCGAGAGAGAUUCCCUGCUCUCCAC
rnacentral:sRNA from 1 species